rnacentral:lncRNA from 1 species
GGGCGGGGGCGGGGGCAGUUUCUCUCACUCACCGAUCUGGAUUCGAUCAAUUCUGUUCUCUGGUCUCCCAGGGCCCUGCGUUUAUGGGGUCCCCGCCCAUGGAAGCUUUCCCCCCGUCAGCGGGUUUCCACUGUACCGGGAGUCCUAGACGAUCCCCUGGUCGUGCGGCCCCUCCCCCGCUCCUUCCCAGACCCGCGUGGCGAUCCCGGUUUCUAGGGGAUGGAGCGAUGUUCUCUCUUACCCCGUUCCAGCUCCUCCGAGGGCUGUACUCUUUCUCCUUUCCUUCUGGGACUUUCAUGACAUAAAUGUUAGACCUUUUGGGAAUGUCCCACUGUUGAGUUUCACCUGCAGACAUCUUUCCUACUUGCUAAAGACAGUUCUUCUCUCCACCAGAUUUAUAAAAGCACAACAUAUAACAAGGAAAUCAAUCUUCUGUCUAUCAUAUGAAGAUAUGGAGGCUCAAAGAGUUUCAGUCACUUAACCUAACGUCACCCAGUUGGUAAGCAGCAGAAUGGACACUUUGUCUGUUUGGCGCCAAAGCCCAUGAUCCUGCAUUCCACGUGGGCCCUGGGGACGGUGCACUUCGGCAGGGCUGGGAUCAGCGGAGGUGAAUGAGGCAAGCAUGAGGAUUACACAUCUCUGCUCCCCUUGUAGUCCUGAGAGGCCAUGUGACUAGGUCUGACCAAUGGGUGGUGAACAGCGGUGAUCCUGUUAUUUCUGAGCUGAUGCAUUUGAUUGUGGGUCUAAAGGCCUCCACCAUUCUCUCCUGCACACUGACUGAGGAGGCAGCAUGUCCCAGAUGGUAAAGCUACAGGAUGGUGGCAUCUCUGUCUGCCUGGAUUGCUGAGUCACAACAUGGAGGGCAGCUGCUCUAGAAGUGACCCAGACCUGCAGUGGGUAUUGUAUGCAUGGGGAAUCAACUUUGGUUGUGUCAAGUCAUCAAUGUCUUGAUAUGGCUUGUUCCCAAACCAUUCCCUCACCUAGUCUGACUAAUACUAUUGAAAAGCUGAAAUUUUAAAAAAUCUGAUUAAAAGAAAAAACUAUCAAUACUGAAAGUAAAUUACAAAAAUGAGGAAAAAAAUUGUGCUGUUGUCAAAUGCAGAUUAUACAUGGUUUAAUUUUUGGCACGUAAGGUCUAGCGUUCAGAGGAGCAUCCAAGAAACUUUAUGAGCAUAACAUGCUGAUGGGAAUUUUAUCCAUUUGGCAGAAGUCAGAGCAAAAUUUGAUAAUAUUAUGGCAGAACAUUUAUGCAUGAUAUAAAUAUUGACACCAAAUAAUAUUGCACCUAUUUAGGGAAUGAAAUACAAAACCAAAUAAUUAAAAUUGUAGCAGAUGUAAUGAAUAAAAUCAGUGUGAAUAAGGUAAGAAGAGCUAAAUAUUACUCAUUAUUUUGGCUACAAAUCUUGAUGUUGUUGUAUUUGAGACACAACCCCUGAUGAAUACAGAAUAGAUAACAAUUUCUGUUAGACUUGUAGAUUCCAAAAAUGCAAAUGUUUCUAUAUGUAAACAUGUUUUGGGAUUUUUUUCCGGUGAAUGACACAACUAGAGAAGGAUUAUAAACAAUAUUAGCAGACCACUUACAAAAACAAUCAAGAAUAAAGUAAUUUGUGGGAACACAGAUAUCAUAAUACUGCAAAUAUGCAGAGAAAACAC